UACGGAGGGUGCGAGCGUUGUCCGGAAUCACUGGGCGUAAAGGGCGCGUAGGCGGCCUGGUAAGUAGGGGGUGAAAUCCUGCGGCUUAACCGCAGGGCUGCCUUCUAAACUGUCAGGCUCGAGCACGGUAGAGGCAGAUGGAAUUCCCGGUGUAGCGGUGGAAUGCGUAGAGAUCGGGAAGAACAUCAGUGGCGAAGGCAGUCUGCUGGGCCGUUGCUGACGCUGAGGCGCGACAGCGUGGGGAGCAAACAGG
rnacentral:rRNA from 1 species